rnacentral:rRNA from 1 species
UGCGUAGGUGGUGGCUUAAGUCCGUUGUGAAAGCCCUGGGCUCAACCUGGGAAUUGCAGUGGAUACUGGGUCACUAGAGUGUGGUAGAGGGUGGCGGAAUUCCCGGUGUAGCAGUGAAAUGCGUAGAGAUCGGGAGGAACACCCGUGGCGAAGGCGGCCACCUGGGCCAACACUGACACUGAGGCACGAAAGCGUGGGGAGCAAACAGGAUUAGAUACCCGCGUA